GGAAGACGAAACGUAUCAAAUCGAUGAGCGAAUGAACAAAAUACAAGGCCUCGAAUGAAUGUAGGAUAAUUAAUCUGAAUCAAGGAGCGGUGUCACCGUAUAUGUACGUCGAAAUCAUGUGAAUUGAUUUGGUAGACGAUCGGGAUAAGGAUAUCGUGGGUUUCUGUGUUUGGAAAGCGCCAAAGAUGCUUCAAAAAAUAACAAGAAUUGGCGAUGAGGAACUCUUCACUGGUUUUGUUCUGGACAAACACUUGCGAGGCUUGAUUGAGGAGUGGUAAAACAAAGUGAUCUGUAUUCGAAAGAUGAGCUCCAGACAGAAAGUAACCACAGCUGCUGCGGCAACCACGAGCCUUCUCAAGUUUGCGUCCCUUGGAGAAUACAUACGGCCAAGUGAUGGAGUGUGGAACCUUCUAGAUGGUCUUGCUGUACUUUUUUGGGGUUCUGCGAUACAAAAAGCGAUAAAGCUUAAAAUCGAGAAACGAAAUGCCGCAUCUACCAUCGACGUAAUAAUUUUGUAGCAGUUUCACUUGUGAUUGAUAUCAAUAUCCUGGAUAGAACCGAAAACGGAAGAAAACUCUUUUUUUAGAAACAUUGAAAAACACUAACACAAACUAUCACUAGCCAAUAACAACUCAAAUAUCGACCAUUACAUGCACGCCGGACUCUUUAAAACGCCAGAAAAUUUAAUUGUAAUAAGGUUUAGAACAUCUCAAUAAUACUGAAAUUUCAGUUCUGUUAAAAUGUCAGUCGAGUCCUUAUCAUUUUUAA